UCCUAAAUAAGCACAAAGGGAAACAAUUAUGUUAUUGAUAGCAGAUAUAUUAGUCGGGAGUGGUGGUGCAUGCCUAUAACAGCUACUUGGGAGGCUGAGGCUGGAGGAUCGCUUGAGCCCAGGAGUUCGAGGUUGCAGUGAGCCAAGAUUGCGCCACUGUACUCCAGCUUGGGAAACAGAGACUAUUUCUUAAAAACAAAACAAAAACAAACAAACAAAAAGCCACUAGAUAUAACUUUUUACUAAGUACUAUCAAAACUCUGUCAAGCAUUUUUUCUUUUUAAAAAUUAUUUUAGAUUAUUUUAGGUUGCUUGUAUGUCUUCUUUUGGGAAAUGUCUGUUCAUGUCCUUUGCCCGCUUGUGGGGUUGGUUUUUUUCUUGUUGAGUUCUUUGUAGAUUCUGGAUAUUAGUUCUUUGUCAGAUGUAUAAUUUACAUAUAUUUUCUCCCAUUCUAUAGGUUGUCUAUUAACUGUUGAUUAUUACUUUUACUGUGCAGAAGUUUUUCUAAUUAAAUCUCAUUUGUCUAUUUUUGGUUUUGUUAUGUUUGCUUUUGAGGUCUUCAUCAUAAAUUCUUUGCCUAGGCCAAUGUCCAGAAGAGUUUUUCCUAGGAUUUCUUCUAGGAUUUUUACUGUUUCAGAUGUGACAUUUAAGUUUUAACCCAUCUUGAACGCUCCCUCAAGUAUUUUUCUUCCAAAGCUUAAUCUUCUGACAAAUGAGAAUAAGAGAAUACCCACUAAAACCCAAAACUUCGAUAACAAAAUAAUUCAUUUAUUCACUUGUUCAGCAACUACCUGCCUUGUACUGGGUGGUGAAGACACAAUGAUAAGUAAGAUGGAGGUAUAUAAAUUAUGCAGAAACUAAGUUCAUAGCACUAAUUUUAUAUUUAAGAUAUGUUAAAAUUGCUCUUAGAAGUUAAGCUGUAUUGCAUUAAAUAUAUGCUGUAGGCCAGAUGUGGUGGCUCACACCUGUAAUCCCAGUACUUUAGGAGGCUGAGGCAGGCAGAUCAC
rnacentral:lncRNA from 10 species